GGAAAAAGUUCAGUUACCUCAGGCGCCUACGGUGUGACAUACUGCUGCUCAGCAGCUGAAUUGUCAUUAAUACAUGUUAUAUACGGCGGCGAAGAGUGUUCACAGCUGGCUUCUUGGAGCAUCGAAGGUGUUAUGAGCUUAUCAAAAGAGACCCCGCGGUAACUGUGGUGGCGCAACCACAUCCCCCUGGUUGCAUAAAGUUACCCUGUUGAAGGAAAGCUGCUCGACACCUCGAGGACGUUCACGUUACAAUAAGUCUUAUUUUGUCACUGUGCCUCUCAUUGGUUGCAUACCCUGUUGAAGGAAAGCUGCUUGUCUAUGGAGGACGUUCACGUUACAAUAAGAAAGAAAAUAAUAGGUGAUGAGCCACUCAUCUCUGUAGUCAUGGACAGGUGGCCUGCAUUAUGUGAUCAGAGACAGAUAAGUGCAAAGUUCAAUAGAAUAGUCACUACAGGUUUGCUGCAGUCCAGCCGUGGUGGUGGAGGAGGAGAAAAUUGUUCUUUAUAACUUCAGAGAUGUGCUCACUGCUUUUGCUAUGCUAAUGGGAACCUACUGCCUAAACCUCCAAUAUGAAGUACUUGUUUGAAUUCCUGCAGAAGGUUGUCAUGAAGAUUAAACCUGACCACUGUUCAGCUCGGAUACACGGACUUAGAAAUAAACUGCUGAGGUAUCCUUUAUAGACUGGUGCCAAGCCUUAAAGGAAUAGUUUACUUAAAUAUGAAAAUUCUGUCAUAUUUUUCUUACUUUCAUGUCAUGCUAGGUGUAUAUGAUAUCCAUUCUUUAGUGUAACAGAGUUAUUGUGACUCUUCCUUGUUUUAUAAUGCUGUUGAUGGAUAUGUGUGAGGAAUGGAAGUCAUACACACCUAGGAUGACUUGAGGGUGAAUCAGUUAUAACAGAAUUUUCAUAUUUAAGUAAACUAUUCCUUUAACUGGAUGGAGAUGGUGUGCUGACUUGUAUAGGCGUGUUCUGAAAAGGAUAUUUAAAUGCUGGUAUAUCUGAGAGCUUUAGUUACUUGACUUUGUUAGAUUAAUUUGUAAUUUUGCUUACUUAAAUGAAAACUGUCUGAUUGUUUUGCACUGUUGAUAUUUUGUUAGCAUUGAAUAUAUCUGUUUUUAUUGCAACUAAGAACGAUUUUACUAUGUUAAUGUUCAGCGUAAUAAAUGGAGUAUUGUUUGAACCAUUCAUAUGUCAAAAUUCUUUUUAUUCAUCUUACUCUUUAUCUUUCUCCCAAUUAAACAUUGAAGAACUCCAUGUAAUAUUUAAAAAUUGAUGUUUUUUGAAAAUGUUUGUAUGUUGAAAUGCAUUUUCAAGCCAAUGUUAAAAUCUGC